CCGUAGGUGGAAACUGCGGAGGGAUCAUUA
rnacentral:rRNA from 1 species